rnacentral:rRNA from 1 species
UACAGAGGUCUCAAGCGUUGUUCGGAUUCAUUGGGCGUAAAGGGUGCGUAGGCGGCGUGGUAAGUCGGGUGUGAAAUCUCGGAGCUUAACUCCGAAACUGCAUUCGAUACUGCCGUGCUUGAGGACUGGAGAGGAGACUGGAAUUUACGGUGUAGCGGUGAAAUGCGUAGAUAUGUGGAGGAACACCGAUGGCGAAGGCAGCCCCCUGGGUCAAGACUGACGCUCAUGCACGAAAGCGUGGGGAGCAAACAGG